AUUGAACGCUGGCGGCAUGCUUUACACAUGCAAGUCGGACGAGUGGCGAACGGGUGAGUAACAUAUCGGAACGUACCGGGUAAAGGGGGAUAACUAAUGGAAAGAUUAGCUAAUACCGCAUAAUAUUCGAGCGGCCGAUAUCGGAUUAGCUGGUUGGUGGGGUAAAGGCCUACCAAGGCGACGAUCCUUAGCGGGUCUGAGAGGAUGAUCCGCCACACUGGGACUGAGACACGGCCCAGACUCCUACGGGAGGCAGCAGUGGGGAAUAUUGGACAAUGGGCGCAAGCCUGAUGCAGCCAUGCCGCGUGUAUGAAGAAGGCCUUCGGGUUGUAAAGGACUUUUGUCAGGGAAGCGGUACUUGAAGAAUAAGCACCGGCUAACUCCGUGCCAGCAGCCGCGGUAAUUC
rnacentral:rRNA from 1 species